rnacentral:rRNA from 1 species
GUGAAACCCUGUGGGAAGCAGGAGGGACCACCCUCCAAGGCUAAAUACUACCUAGUGACCGAUAGCGUAUAGUACCGUGAGGGAAAGGUGAAAAGAACCCCGAGAGGGGAGUGAAAUAGAACCUGAAACCCUGCACUUACAAGCUGUGGAAGCACAUUUCUUGUGUGACCGCGUACUUUUUGUAGAACGGGCCAACGAGUUACGU